rnacentral:rRNA from 1 species
ACUUUAAUUGAAGAGUUUGAUCAUGGCUCAGAUUGAACGCUGGCGGCAGGCCUAACACAUGCAAGUCGAGCGGUAACAGAUUGAUAGCUUGCUAUCAAUGCUGACGAGCGGCGGACGGG